UAUACCUUUUGUAGGCUGUAAUAAAAUGUCAUAGCUUAUAAUAUUCAACUGUAUGUUAUAAUGAAGUCUUUGUUUUUGGUUUUCAGCAAAAAGGGAAAAUAUCAAAUGUUCUGCGAUCCUCAUCUGGUAAAGAAAUUCCUAUUGCAGAUUGCAUAAAGGUUGAUGACGAAGUAGACGAGAACAAUGUCUGUGUAUUGUCGGAUGAUGAAAAUGGACCCUGUGGUGUGGACGAAGGUGGCCCCCUAGUCAACGAAAAUGAACAGCUUGUGGGAAUAGCAACCAAACGUUUGCAGUGUGGUUCGUGGUGUUUUGCAAAAGGAGGCAAGAAGAAGCCAGAUGUAUACACACGGGCAAGCAAAUUUAAGGAUUGGAUCAUAGAAAACACAAAGGAGAACACUACGUGCC